rnacentral:tRNA from 1 species
GGGCGAUUAGCUCAUUUGGCUAGAGCGUAGCAUUGACGUUGCUAAGGUGAUAGGUUCGAAUCCUAUAUCGCCCACCA